CAGAAAAUAGUUUAUUUAAAAUAAUAAUUUUGGGGAUUAUAGAAAGGAUGCAAUCUUUUUUCUGA
rnacentral:tRNA from 1 species